rnacentral:rRNA from 1 species
UACAGAGGUCCCAAGCGUUGUUCGGAUUCAUUGGGCGUAAAGGGUGCGUAGGCGGCGCGGUAAGUCGGGUGUGAAAUCUCGGAGCUUAAUUCCGAAACUGCAUUCGAUACUGCCGUGCUUGAGGACUGGAGAGGAGACUGGAAUUUACGGUGUAGCGGUGAAAUGCGUAGAUAUCGUAAGGAAGACCAGUGGCGAAGGCGGGUCUCUGGACAGUUCCUGACGCUGAGGCACGAAGGCCAGGGGAGCAAACGGG